GAGCUUGCUCCUGGAUUCAGCGGCGGACGGGUGAGUAAUGCCUAGGAAUCUGCCUGGUAGUGGGGGAUAACGUCCGGAAACGGGCGCUAAUACCGCAUACGUCCUGAGGGAGAAAGUGGGGGAUCUUCGGACCUCACGCUAUCAGAUGAGCCUAGGUCGGAUUAGCUAGUUGGUGGGGUAAAGGCCUACCAAGGCGACGAUCCGUAACUGGUCUGAGAGGAUGAUCAGUCACACUGGAACUGAGACACGGUCCAGACUCCUACGGGAGGCAGCAGUGGGGAAUAUUGGACAAUGGGCGAAAGCCUGAUCCAGCCAUGCCGCGUGUGUGAAGAAGGUCUUCGGAUUGUAAAGCACUUUAAGUUGGGAGGAAGGGCAGUAAGUUAAUACCUUGCUGUUUUGACGUUACCAACAGAAUAAGCACCGGCUAACUUCGUGCCAGCAGCCGCGGUAAUACGAAGGGUGCAAGCGUUAAUCGGAAUUACUGGGCGUAAAGCGCGCGUAGGUGGUUCAGCAAGUUGGAUGUGAAAUCCCCGGGCUCAACCUGGGAACUGCAUCCAAAACUACUGAGCUAGAGUACGGUAGAGGGUGGGUGGAAUUUCCUGUGUAGCGGUGAAAUGCGUAGAUAUAGGAAGGAACACCAGUGGCGAAGGCGACCACCUGGACUGAUACUGACACUGAGGUGCGA
rnacentral:rRNA from 1 species